rnacentral:lncRNA from 8 species
AGUGUAUGUCGCCACAUUGUGCUGUGUGAGUACUCAGAGCGCGUGCGGUUUACACGGAAAAACCUGUCGGUCGCAAGAUUGGUGGGCUCUGCUCGAGCAGCCUUGCAGACCACCUUGGGGUGCACGAGCUCUGUGCAAGACUCCUGCAAUGACCUCUUUUACCAGUGAUGAAAGAAGACUUUGGGCGGGGUUUAGGGUCGUGUUGAGCGCCUCAUCACACCUGUUUCUACAUCCCAUGAAGAAGAGCUUGAACGUGUUGCUGUGCAAAAAGACAUGAAAAUGGUCCAAAAGUGGAUGGAGACACUUGUUUUACUGUUCUUCUGUCAAGAAACUCUCCAACGGAAUUAUCUAACAGAGAAAAGGGAUGGUGACCAUGCACCUUGCUGGGCCAGCCCCUACGACAACAACAACCACCACGACUACACCAAUGACCACAGCCAUAGAGCUAACCAGCUCUACAACUGCCAAGUCGUGCAAAGUGGGAAAGGUGGACCCUAGUGCUCCUGUGAUUUGAUUGUUUGGGCCCCAUUGGCUGCUGGCUGUGGCCUCCUCUUCCUCCUCAACAUCACCGUAUCCCAUUGCAACCGUGAGUCCUGCAUUCACUCACCAAUAUACCCCCAUGUAUCCAUGAAACACCCACCAAACAAAACAAGAGUG